rnacentral:rRNA from 1 species
AUUGAACGCUGGCGGCAGGCUUAACACAUGCAAGUCGAGCGAGCGGCGGACGGGUGAGUAAUGUCUGGGAAACUGCCUGAUGGAGGGUGAUAACUACUGGAAACGGUAGCUAAUACCUCAUACCAUCAGAUGUGCCCAGAUGGGAUGAGCUAGUAGGUGGGGGAAUGCCUCACUUAGGCGACGAUCCCUAGCUGGUCUGAGAGGAUGACCAGCCCAACGGGAACUGAGACACGGUCCAGACUCUGACGGGAGGCGGCAGUGGGGAAUAUUGCACACUGGGCGCAAGCAUGAGGCAGCCAUGCCGGGUGUGUGAAGAAGGCCUUCGGGUUGUAAAGCACUUUCAGCGAGGAGGCGUUACUCGCAGAAGAAGCACCGGCUAACUCCGUGCCAGCCGCCGCGGUAAUUC